GAUGAACGCUGGCGGCGUGCUUAACACAUGCAAGUCGAACGGAGAAAGGGUAGCUUGCUAUCUUUUCUUAGUGGCGGACGGGUGAGUAACGCGUGGGUAACCUGCCCUUUGCAGGGGGAUAACAGUGAGAAAUCACUGCUAAUACCGCAUACCAACUUCUUUCGCAUGAAAGAAGUUUGAAAGAUUUAUCGGCAAAGGAUGGACCCGCGUUGGAUUAGCUAGUUGGUGAGAUAACAGCCCACCAAGGCAACGAUCCAUAGCCGGCCUGAGAGGGUGAACGGCCACACUGGGACUGAGACACGGCCCAGACUCCUACGGGAGGCAGCAGUGGGGAAUAUUGCACAAUGGGCGAAAGCCUGAUGCAGCGACGCCGCGUGAAGGAUGAAGGUCUUCGGAUUGUAAACUUCUAUCAGCAGGGAAGAAAGGGCUUAUAGCCUAUGACGGUACCCGACUAAGAAGCCCCGGCUAACUACGUG
rnacentral:rRNA from 1 species